UGGGGAAUUUUGCACAAUGGGGGAAACCCUGAUGCAGCGACGCCGCGUGAUUUAGAAGGCCUUCGGGUUGUAAAAAUCUUUUCUAUGGGAAGAAAAUGACAGUACCAUAGGAAUAAGGACCGGCUAAUUACGUGCCAGCAGCCGCGGGAAUACGUAAGGUCCGAGCGUUGUCCGGAAUCAUUGGGCGUAAAGGGUACGUAGGCGGGUAAGCAAGUUAGAAGUGAAAUCCUGUAGCUCAACUACAGUAAGCUUUUAAAACUGCUCAGCUUGAGAUAUGGAAGGGAAAGUGGAAUUCCUAGUGUAGCGGUGAAAUGCGCAGAUAUUAGGAGGAAUACCGGUGGCGAAGGCGACUUUCUGGCCAUAAUCUGACGCUGAGGUACGAAAGCGUGGGUAGCAAACAGG
rnacentral:rRNA from 1 species